GCCCUGAUCGUCCAGCCCGGUUAAGGACAUCGGCCUUUCAAGCCGAGAACACGGGUUCGAAUCCCGUUCAGGGCA
rnacentral:tRNA from 1 species